rnacentral:rRNA from 1 species
UAGUCCACGCUGUAAACGAUGUCGACUAGCUGUUUGUCCAAUUGAGGAUAAGUGGCGUAGCUAGCGCGCUAAGUUGACCGCCUGGGGAGUACGGCCGCAAGGCUAAAACUCAAAGGAAUUGACGGGGGCCCGCACAAGCGGUGGAGCAUGUGGUUUAAUUCGAUGCAACGCGAAGAACCUUACCUACCCUUGACAUCCUCGGAAGGUUUUGGAGACAAGACUGUGCUGUAAAAGGAGCCGAGAGACGGGUGCUGCAUGGCUGUCGUCAGCUCGUGUUGUGAAAUGUUGGGUUAAGUCCCGUAACGAGCGCAACCCUUAUCUUUAGUUGCCAGGGGCUAUUAGUCCGGUACUUUAAAGAGACUGCCGGUGUUAAGCCGGAGGAAGGCGGGGACGAUGUCAAGUCAUCAUGGCCCUUAUGGGUAGGGCUACACACGUGCUACAAUGGUCGGUACAAAGGGAAGCGAACCUGCGAGGGGGAGCGAAUCUUAUAAAGCCGGUCGUAGUCCGGAUUGGAGUCUGCAACUCGACU